GUGACGGUCAAGCUUGCUUGGUCUGAUCAGUGGCGAACGGGUGAGUAACACGUGAGUAACCUGCCCCAGACUCUGGGAUAACCCCGGGAAACCGGAGCUAAUACCGGAUAUGACACCAACGGGCAUCCGUAUGGUGUGGAAAGUUUUUCGGUCUGGGAUGGACUCGCGGCCUAUCAGCUUGUUGGUGAGGUAGUGGCUCACCAAGGCGACGACGGGUAGCCGGCCUGAGAGGGCGACCGGCCACACUGGGACUGAGACACGGCCCAGACUCCUACGGGAGGCAGCAGUGGGGAAUAUUGCACAAUGGGCGGAAGCCUGAUGCAGCGACGCCGCGUGAGGGAUGACGGCCUUCGGGUUGUAAACCUCUUUCAGCAGGGAAGAAGCGCAAGUGACGGUACCUGCAGAAGAAGCACCGGCUAACUACGUGCCAGCAGCCGCGGUAAUACGUAGGGUGCGAGCGUUGUCCGGAAUUAUUGGGCGUAAAGAGCUUGUAGGUGGUUUGUCGCGUCUGCUGUGAAAAUCCGAGGCUCAACCUCGGACUUGCAGUGGGUACGGGCAGACUAGAGUGUGGUAGGGGAGACUGGAAUUCCUGGUGUAGCGGUGGAAUGCGCAGAUAUCAGGAGGAACACCGAUGGCGAAGGCAGGUCUCU
rnacentral:rRNA from 1 species